rnacentral:lncRNA from 1 species
AGACAGAUAAAUGUUGUAGAGCAGUAAAGGCAAAUGAAUGGUCAUAUGUUUGUUCAUUGUCCCCUUUAGAGAACUAAAAAAGACAUGGAAUCAUAAAGGAGGUCCCAGAAAGAGAGUUGACCCGGAAGCCUUUACACAAAGCCUCCAUGAGUCAUGGAGCAGCAGAAGGGAACAAGAGGAUGAGAUGCCAACAAACGUGGAGCUAUAAGACUCUAAGUUUGUUUUGUUUUUCUUUCCCUUUUUGUGUAGCGGAGGCUUGAACUUGAUACUUGUGAAUAAAGUUGAGAUGAGAAAGAGCAACAUUAAGUGGUAAAUAUCAGCUUGAGGGAAUCAAGAAAUGGUGAUGAACAUGAAAAUAAAGAAAGGAUUUUUGAUGACCAGCAUCAUGUUUCAUGAGAAAGGGCAAAGGAAGAAACAGCAUCGGGCCAGCAACUGUGAGGAGCUGAAGUUUCAUUCCACAGAAAGCUAAUGAGAUCCAUGGGCAGCAGCACGACUUACAGUGAAUAAAGGAGAAUCAGUUUUAUCUAGAUGAGAAAAGCAUCAUCCUACAGACCAUUAGAGCAAGAAAAUAUGAUACACAAAGAAAGAGAAGCUGAUGGACAGAUAGCCAGAGGUCGUAUAAGAAUAAGAACUGAAGAUCCUGAUCUGCUGCUGAAAUGUGCUUCAGUUGACCCUAUCAGCUGUUUUGCUUGCAGCUCUGAGUGGCCUUAGGGAUGAUGCCCCGCCUCUCCCUGAUCUGAUAUUCGAUUCUUUCAUCUUCAAACAGCUCAUAUCCAGCUUUUUGAGGCAACUUUUAUCUCAUGCCAAUUAAUUAAAAAUCAAC